rnacentral:rRNA from 1 species
GACGUAGGGGCCGAGCGUUGUCCGGAUUUACUGGGCGUAAAGAGCGCGCAGGCGGUCGUUCAAGUCGCGUGUGAAAGCCCCCGGCUCAACUGGGGAGGGUCACGCGAUACUGAUCGACUCGAAGGCAGGAGAGGGUAGUGGAAUUCCCGGUGUAGUGGUGAAAUGCGUAGAUAUCGGGAGGAACACCAGUGGCGAAGGCGACUACCUGGCCUGUUUCUUGACGCUGAGGCGCGAAAGCUAGGGGAGCAAACGGGG